rnacentral:lncRNA from 1 species
AUGAGACGGGUAGUUGAGGCGACAGCAACAAAAGAGCGUUCAAUUAACCACCCUUGUAUUCUGUUCGAAAUGAAAAAAAGCCGGGGAUUUAGCUCAGUGGCUCUGCUCCUGCCUGACAAGCUCAAGGUCCUGCGUUCGAUUCCCGGUACCAAAAAAAAAAAAAAAGAAAAAAAGAAUAGAAAUCAUUAUCCGACAUUCUCAACAUGGGAUGAUGCCAGUACUCAGGAUAAGAACUGGUCCUCUAGGCCUCAUGGAUUCCAGCAACAGAGGUCACACAAGAUUCCCUACCUGGACUGCUACCACUCACCAAGGUGUAUCAAGGAGAACCCUAUGGUCUCAGAGGGAAAUUCCAUCUCUUCAGUGAGGGAUAAAGAGUGAGCCUGAGACACUGAGUCAAAACUAUUUCUCUCUGAGCCUAUGAUGCUCCUAUGAGGGAAUUGAAGGGCUGAACUGUGCACAGAGUAGAACUCAGCUUCCUUCCAUCAUCUCAGACCUCUCCAUAGGGCUCAGGAAGGAACUUUGAGUGCUCAUGUAAGUUUCUGCUUCUCCACUUUGCCUGGAGACAAGAGGUCACAAUAGAGCCCAGGCAUCACCUCUCCCAAUUUUGCUCCUAGUCAUGUCAGGUACCUAGAAUUCUAAGUGCUCAUUCCCCUUCUCUAUUUUUCUUUCCAUUCUAUAUUCACUUUAUUACAUAUCAGUGUGCCAAUAUCAUUUUACUUUUAUAUAUUCAAAUUGAUCCUAUUAAAUAUAACUAUCUUUUCAAAAUUGAACAAUAUUUUCCCAAUAUCCAGAUAGAAUAUGGUUUUGCAAUACUUUUACUUUGCUCUCUGUGUUUAACUUCAUUUAUUGCGCGACAGUAGUCACUUAGUAAAUCCAUAUGUGAAUUUUUAUUUAUUAGUACAUAUUUUCAGUAUAUAAUUAUUAUAUUUCUUGUGUGGAAUUGGUACAUGUACAUAACACAUCUUAAUUCUUUUUGCAUCCCCUUUCCUCCCCUCUUUCCACCUCCCUCCAAUUCAUCAUCUCCUUAUCAUUUAUGAAAGAUCUAUCUCCCUACUUCCUAUUAGCUGUCUGUUCUUUUGUUCUUUUUUUUUAAGAGUAGGAAAAAUUUAUUGAGAGAAUAGCUUCUGUCUAAGAGAGACAGAGGGGGGACUGGAAAGUGGGUUGCCUGUCCUCCCCACUUCUCAAAGGUGUUUUGUAAGGCAAAGCCCUGAGGUGAGGCAGGUACAAAGUGGGACAAAACUGAAAGAUCCAAUGAAAAAGAACAAGAUGGGCAUGAGGUGAUCAAGCAAUAGGAUUACAAGUACAGUCACCCAGGUAACAUUGAUGAAAUGGGGAUCAAAUGGGAGAACAAGUCACAUACCAAAUAUACAUAGAAAAAACAAGGAAUUUCCAGAAAGGAAAUGGGCUGGGGAGAUUGAUGAAUAUUUAGAAUGUCAUUCACUGCUAUUCAUCCCUCGGGAAGUAAGUGGAUGGAGUACCUUUUCUCUUUUUAUAAUACUAACGAUUGAAUAUGCUUCAAUUGUUUUUUAUGUUGAGGGCCCAGCCUUGUACUAACUUAACUGUCUGUAAUAUUCCCCCUGAAGAAGUAUCCCUAACUGCAAUUAGGGGGAAAAGGGCAUAGUUUUUAUCAUCUAACUGCUUCUAGCUGAGAAGGGUCAAUAUGAGGAAGACUGCAGUUAGGCCUUCUCCAGAGAGCUAACUUAAUGGGCCUCAGAUAGAGGUCAUAUUGUAGUUUAGCAGUUAUGAGCUUUUUACAAGGUCAGUCUAGUGGAGCCCUGUAAAAGGAGUCUAGCACAUUUGUUGUUGGCUCCAUCUGUAUGGCUGCUUGGAGUUUGACAGGCUGUCCAUCCAAUGAUCUCACUGGGCCCUCCAAAAUGAUUGAGAGCAGCAAGUAAUAUAGAUAAGGGAAACAUUAUAACUCCCAAUCUUCUAGAUAACCAAAAUACAAGUUUGCAUAGUCUCAAAUCAAAGAAUGAAUUCCAGGAACAAAGGAGGUUAAGAGCAGGAAAAAUUUAUUGAGAGAAAGAGAGCUUCUGUCUAAGAGAGACAGAAGGAGGACCAGAAAGUGGGUUGUCCCUUUUGCUCUUUAUUUAUAUUUUGAGUUUCUCAGAAAAAAGGAUAUUUAAACUUGUGUGUCUGAUUUAUUCCACUUAAUAUUAAGGUCUCAAGGUGCAUCCAUUUCCCCUAAAUGAAAGAAAAUAAUGCAAAAAGAAUUCAGAAAGAGAUUAGAUUCUACUGUUCAGACUGUAUCAUUGUGUAUUGAAUGUUUUAAGAUAGCCCAUACAGAGAAAAAUUAUUGUAUAAAUUUGAUAAAAUUAUCUUUUUUAUAUUUCCUGUUAUAUUGUCUUAUAAAAAUUAGUGAAAAAAUAUACAAUUUUUGGUCAUCCUGUAUUUAAAUAAUUGGACUGGUAAGUGGUUGUUUAAUACCAACAUUUGCCAGCCCUGAUUUCUCAUUAGAGAGGGCAGGGUGCUUGUCCUUCCCAGCCUGAGCUUAAAUUUCUCAGGCAUCUAUUCUGGCCUACACCCUUUCCAUAGCAGUUUUCUUUUUUUUGUGUGUGGGAACAUAACAGGAAUCCCUGAAGUUGAAUCCCUGAAGCUGCUGGCCAGGAUUGUAUUUUCUUCCUGGGUCUUUUGGCUCUUCAGCUUACCUGUUCUUUCCAGGUAUUGGCCUCUUCCACAAGCAGGUUAUUUGGUUAGUCUUUGCUCCUGCUUCCCCAUGCCAAGUGUAAGGCAAACAUAGUACAGUGGUACCCCAGUUCAUUAAUGCUUUUGUUUGCAAACACUUUGGUUUGUAAAGAAAAGUGUUUGGUAAUUUUUUUUUUGCAAAUUCUGCAUCAGGUGACAAACAUGACCAUGACCACCUUUCUCACACAAACACAAAUGUAGCCAUCUUUUCCAAAAGUGUAGAACAAAUGAAGGUUGUGAACCAAGAUACCACCAUACCUGAUUGGAGUUGGUGGAUGAUCAUGGCUGGGCAAUGGUGGUUGCUGUGUGUCAGCCUGGUAUGACGUCUUUAGAAAGGGAAAAUUAGUAUUCCUGAAACACAAGAAAUCAAAGCAGUUGAGUGGAGGCUGCCUUAGCUGGUGAAUGAUGAAUAGGAAGCUCUUCAAGGCAGGGUUUGUGGAACUGGUGGGACUGGUAUAUAGAUAUGGUGAAGGAGCUUUUGGAAGAUUUCUUCUUCAUGUCUCUCAGUGAAUCAGGUCAGCAGCUGAAGGUGGUGAAAAGAUAUGUUAGAGUUUUAAAGAGAGUGUACAAAACAGUUACUCAGCAAUAUGAUACAGAGUAGGAAAAUACAAUAUCCUAAUGCAAAAUAGAAGGGAAAUUUGAACUUUAUGAUAUAAAUUUAAAGUCAGUAAAGAUAGAGGUAUUUCUUUAACUCCAUUCAGCUCCAUUAGGAAAUGGGCAGAGAAGUCUGAGAGCUGAAUCUAAUCAAUGUUAUGGUUUGUUGAAAAAUGCAAAUGUUACAAGAAAAUCAAAAUGACUUGAAAAAUAUAUGGAAGGGAGUAAUUAGUAUGACCAUAAACCUUAACGAAGAUAGAUAAGCAGGGAAAUUAGAACAUAAGAGAGAUAAAGAAUGGUGAAAUAUUUGGCAAAAUCAAUUUAUAGAUUAUAGAUCCCAGUCAGGGAAGCACAAUUGGGUCCAGGUUACUGAUGAUUCACUCCUUGAAACUGAUAUUAUGGAAAGUUUUCAGUUAUUGGUUUGGCGACAUCUACUGUGUUUCCCCCAAAAUAUCACCUAACCAGAAAAUAAGUGCUGGUCAUUACCACUAAUACUGAUGUAUGAGUCAGUGCUUACAAGGGCUUGCAGGGCUGGGGCAAGGCUCCUCAAAAGGUUAUACAUGCUCUGAAUCAGAUUUAAUGCAGGACAGAGAAAUUUACAGGAUUGGCUUACAAUGGUCACCCACAGAGUCAAAUGUGGAAGAGUGCAAAAGGUCUGUCCACACAGUAGAGACCCGAAGGAUCCAGUCGAAGGCCUGGAGCCCAUGGCAAUGUCCUGUAUGAGUCCUCCUGAAGCCAAAGGAUCUUUAAUGAAAGACUGAGGAGUCUGUGUCAGGAGGUUGAAGGGUUGGCACUGGAAGGUAAAGAGUCUGAUGAAGAUUCUGUGCCAAAUGCCAGGAGACAACACCCAAGGUGAAGGCAAAGACCAGAGAUUCUCUGAAAAGAACAGUCAAAGCUUCUUCAAGGAAAAUCAGCUGAAAUCCUUCCCUCUAAUUCUCCUUUUUAUACCAUUCUGACAAUAAUCCUCCUUAAAGUGGGUCUUCCACAUCCAAAAUGAUGCUGACACUGAAGGACCCUUCUUAGCAAGACAGACUCCAUAUUGCUGCUUGACCUACCUGCCUGCCCUUUAGAUGAACUCAGAAGGAGGAAGCUUAGAAACCUCCUCUCCUUAGAGUCUCUUAGAAACAACAAUUAAUCAACUAUUGUUUUACAAAUGUUCUAACAGCAGGAUGGUCCGCUUCUGUACCUUUCGCUUGCUUUGCUAGUUCUGUCCCAUAGGGGGGCCUAGAAACUGUUGGCCUCAAAGGUGUAUAAAAUGUGUUUGUCAACCCCCAGUCGAGGCUCGAGUCCGAUGCUUGGCUCGGGUCCCGGCUGGUAAUAAACUCCUGUGUGGAUUUAAUACCGGUCUCUGGUUGGUUCUCUCUCACUGGGUGCAACAGACACAAUUCAGCAGGGGGUUUGCAAUCAAGUUGACAUUUAAUCAAUUAACUACCACACAUGGUGAUGGCCAGUGUCAUUAAGAAGAUUAUGUCUCACUACUCUUUUUCUCAGUGACUGCUCUGUAAUAGCAGGUAAGCCAAGAGGGUUGGGGUUGGCAUUUUUGAUCUGUAGAAUGAGAUCUUAGAAUGAGACUUUUCAAGGUCACUGAAAGCAUCCAUAAAUUCUGUGCUUUGGAAUUAACCUAACCAAGGAAGUGAAAGACCUCUACAACAA